CCUUAACGCGAAGAACCUUACCAAGACUUGACAUUGUAUGACAGGUGUGGAAACACACCCUUCUUCGGACAUAUAAACAGGUGGUGCAUGGUUGUCGUCAGCUCGUGUCGUGAGAUGUUGGGUUAAGUCCCGCAACGAGCGCAACCCUUGUGAACAGUUGCCAAUAUUAAGUUAGGAACUCUGUUCAGACUGCCGUGGACAACACGGAGGAAGGUGGGGAUGACGUCAAAUCAGCAUGCCCCUUACGUCUUGGGCUAGACACGUGCUACAAUGGCUGCUACAAAGAGUCGCGAGCCGGUAACGGUAAGCCAAUCUCAAAAAAGCAGUCUCAGUUCGGAUUGUGGGCUGAAACCCGUCCACAUGAAGUUGGAGUUGCUAGUAAUCCCGAAUCAGCAUGUCGGGGUGAAUGCGUUC
rnacentral:rRNA from 1 species